UCAACCUACGGGGGGCAGCAGUGAGGAAUAUUGGUCAAUGGGCGCAAGCCUGAACCAGCCAAGUCGCGUGAGGGAUGACGGUCCUAUGGAUUGUAAACCUCUUUUGUCGGGGAGCAAGGCCCGCCACGUGUGGCGGGAAGGAGAGUACCCGAAGAAAAAGCAUCGGCUAACUCCGUGCCAGCAGCCGCGGUAAUACGUAGGUGGCGAGCGUUAUCCGGAAUGAUUGGGCGUAAAGGGUGCGUAGGCGGCCUGCUAAGUCUGGAGUGAAAGGGACCGGCUCAACCGGUACAGGCUCUGGAAACUGG
rnacentral:rRNA from 1 species